rnacentral:rRNA from 1 species
CGUGGCUAACCUGCCCUUGGGACGAGAACACCCCCGGGAAACUGGGGCUAAUUCUCGAUAGGUGAAGAACUCUGGAAUGAGUCUUCGCUUAAAAGAUACUGGGGUUAUGCUCUCCAGCUUCGCCCAAGGAUGGGGCCGCGACCGAUCAGGUUGUUGGUGAGGUAAUGGCUCACCAAGCCUUUUACCGGUGCGGGCCGUGAGAGCGGGAGCCCGGAGAUGGGCACUGAGAGAAGGGUCCAGGUCCUACGGGGCGCAGCAGGCGCGAAACCUUCACAAUGCGCGAAAGCGUGAUGAGGUUAAUCCGAGUGGUCCCCGCUGAGGGGAUCUUUUGUCGGCUGUAAAAAGGCCGGUGAAUAAGGGGAGGGCAAGUCUGGUGUCAGCCGCCGCGGUAAUACCAGCUCCUCGAGUGGUCGGGGCGAUUAUUGGGCCUAAAGCAUCCGUAGCCUGCUCAGUAGGUCUCCUGUUAAAUCCAACGGCUCAACCGUUGGUCUGCAGGAGAUACCGCUUGGCUAGGGGACGAGAGAGGCAGACGGUAUUUCCGGGGUAGGGGUGAAAUCCUAUAAUCCCGGGAAGACCACCAGUGGCGAAGGCGGUCCGCCAGAACGCGCUCGACGGUGAGGGAUGAAAGCUGGGGGAGCGAACCGGAUUAGAUACCCGGGUAGUCCCAGCCGU